GCUUAAGGCCAUACCACCCUGUCUGCGCCCGCUCUCGUCUGAUCUCGGAAGCUAUGCAGGGUCGGGGCUGUUAGUAGUUGGAUGGGAGACUGCCUGGGAAUACCAGGUGCUGUAAGCU
rnacentral:rRNA from 1 species